UACGGGGGGGGCAAGCGUUGUUCGGAAUUACUGGGCGUAAAGGGCGCGUAGGCGGGCGGGCAAGUCUCUCGUGAAAGCCCACGGCUCAACCGUGGAAUUGCGGGAGAUACUGCCUGUCUUGAGUCCGGGAGAGGAGGGUGGAAUUCCCAGUGUAGCGGUGAAAUGCGUAGAUAUUGGGAGGAACACCGGUGGCGAAGGCGGCUCUCUGGACCGGUAAUGGCGCUGAGGCGCUAAAGCUAGGGGAGCAAACGGG
rnacentral:rRNA from 1 species